rnacentral:rRNA from 1 species
CGGCGGACGGGUGAGUAACGCGUGGGUAACCUGCCUCAUACAGGGGGAUAACAGUUGGAAACGGCUGCUAAUACCGCAUAAGCGCACAGUACCGCAUGGUACCGUGUGAAAAACUCCGGUGGUAUGAGAUGGACCCGCGUCUGAUUAGGUAGUUGGUGGGGUAACGGCCUACCAAGCCGACGAUCAGUAGCCGACCUGAGAGGGUGACCGGCCACAUUGGGACUGAGACACGGCCCAAACUCCUACGGGAGGCAGCAUG